ensembl:lncRNA
CGGGAGGGGAAAAUCCGCCGUGGUGCGGGAGAGAGGGAUGUGGGAGCCGAGCAGUGUGUCUUUGAAGAGACGGGGGGAUGGCGGAGAACGCUGUGUGCAGCGUGAUUACGGUCUGGUUUUUGGGUGGUCCUGUGCGAAGCAUGAAGUUGGACUGGAUGGUCCUUGUGGGCGCCUUCCAAAGCAGAAUGUUCUGCGAUUCUGCAAAGUUUGGGAUUCCUUCAAAGUUCGUUUCCAGUCCCUUACCCUUCCCAGCCUCUAUCCGGGCACUGGGGCUGGCGCUGCUGUUCACUGUACCACAGUUCUUUGAGAACAGAGAAGGAAAAGCACGAAGUACCCGUAGGUAAUUGUUACUGACAAGGUGGAUUUCUCCCCCUCGCCCAUUUCUUUAGUUCAUGUUCUCCUUCGCUGCUGCACAGUGCAGCUCGGUAUGGCAGCUCGGUUCCCGACCAUCGUCACGAGUGUACGCAAUAAGGAGAGGGCUGAAGGUACUGACCUUUGACACCAAUGGAAAAGAAAAUGAGUGUAAGUCACCUCGUGGCGUCUGUGCCAAAAGCGAGGAAAGUGACGGCACUGCGCCGUCCAGGAGAGUGCCUCCUAAAAGUAUCGCUUAGAAACACCCACGGCUAUAAACCCUACAACUGUUUAUAAGUUACCGAAAAUAACUGCCGGUCGCACUGGUGCUCGUUUGCCCUAAUUCUACAGUAUUCCUUCUAUUAUUUUUUGAGAAACGCAUUGGAAAUGGCUUAUAUCCAAGGGCAGCUUAUUCGAGUGCCUGUUCCCCAUAUCCCGAGUUUUGUUACAGAAUCCACUUUCUCGUCGUCCUCCUUCCCCGAGUACCCCAACACCAUUAGGGGAUAAAGUACCUGGAGCGCGGCUCGAAGCACGGAGGUUAAGAUCUACAUCAGUUAAAACCUGUUAAUCGGCUCUGAAUGGUCUCAGAGUGCGCUCGCCGUGUGUGUAUGUGUGUGUGUGUGCGUGCCCUGGACGAGGGCACGGAUGGAAAUUCCCAGCCCAGCUCAGCAGGUCCUCGAGGCGCGCAGCCGGACUUUGCAGACUUCGGGAUGCUCCCAGCCGUAAGGAGCGGCAUCCCCGCAGCUGCGCGUAGGGAGAAGAAACAGCUCCUGUAAGGACAGUGAAG